AGAGUUUGAUCCUGGCUCAGAGCGAACGCUGGCGGCAGGCUUAACACAUGCAAGUCGAACGGGCGUAGCAAUACGUCAGUGGCAGACGGGUGAGUAACACGUGGGAACGUACCUUUUGGUUCGGAACAACUGAGGGAAACUUCAGCUAAUACCGGAUAAGCCCUUACGGGGAAAGAUUUAUCGCCGAAAGAUCGGCCCGCGUCUGAUUAGCUUGUUGGUGAGGUAACGGCUCACCAAGGCGACGAUCAGUAGCUGGUCUGAGAGGAUGAUCAGCCACAUUGGGACUGAGACACGGCCCAAACUCCUACGGGAGGCAGCAGUGGGGAAUAUUGGACAAUGGGCGAAAGCCUGAUCCAGCCAUGCCGCGUGAGUGAUGAAGGCCCUAGGGUUGUAAAGCUCUUUUGUGCGGGAAGAUAAUGACGGUACCGCAAGAAUAAGCCCCGGCUAACUUCGUGCCAGCAGCCGCGGUAAUACGUAGGGGGCGAGCGUUGUCCGGAAUUACUGGGCGUAAAGCGCGCGCAGGCGGCUUGUUAAGUCAGGUGUCAAAAUGCGGGGCUCAACCCCGUAUCGCACUUGAAACUGGCAGGCUUGAGUGCAGGAGAGGGAAGUGGAAUUCCUAGUGUAGCGGUGAAAUGCGUAGAUAUUAGGAGGAACACCAGUGGCGAAGGCGACUUCCUGGACUGUAACUGACGCUCAGGCGCGAAAGCUAGGGGAGCAAACAGGAUUAGAUACCCUGGUAGUCCUAGCCGUAAACGAUGGGUACUAGGUGUUGGGGGUGACAAUCCCCCAGUGCCGCAGUUAACGCAUUAAAUACUCCGCCUGGGGAGUACGCACGCAAGUGUGAAACUCAAAGGAAUUGACGGGGACCCGCACAAGUAGCGGAGCAUGUGGUUUAAUUCGAAGCAACGCGAAGAACCUUACCUAAGCUUGACAUCUCUCAGAUCGGUAGUUAAUCCUACCUUCCCUUCGGGGCUGAGAUGACAGGUGGUGCAUGGUUGUCGUCAGCUCGUGUCGUGAGAUGUUGGGUUAAGUCCCGCAACGAGCGCAACCCUUGUCUUUAGUUGCCAGCAUUAAGUUGGGCACUCUAGAGAGACUGCCAGGGAUAACCUGGAGGAAGGUGGGGAUGACGUCAAAUCAUCAUGCCCCUUAUGCUUAGGGCUACACACGUGCUACAAUGGGUGGUACAGAGGGUUGCCAAGCCGCAAGGUGGAGCUAAUCCCUUGAAGCCAUUCUCAGUUCGGAUUGUAGGCUGAAACUCGCCUACAUGAAGCUGGAGUUACUAGUAAUCGCAGAUCAGAAUGCUGCGGUGAAUGCGUUCCCGGGUCUUGUACACACCGCCCGUCACACCAUGGAAGUUGGAAACACCCGAAGCCGAUUAUCUAACCGCAAGGAAGAAGUCGUCGAAGGUGGAAUCAAUAACUAGGGUGAAGUCGUAACAAGGUA
rnacentral:rRNA from 1 species